UACAACAUAGCGUUAAUGCAUUGGAUCCCAUUAGAACUCCACAGUUAAGCGUGCUCAGUCUAGAGUAGUACUAGGAUGGGUGACCGCCUGGGAACUCCUAGUGUUUUAC
rnacentral:rRNA from 1 species